UUUUUGAGACAGGGACUGAGCAUGAGCGAGGGAGGAGCAGAGAGAGAGGGAGACACAGAAUCUUCUGAAGCAGGCUCCAGGCUCCGAACUGUCAGCACAGAGUCCCACACAGGGCUCAAACUCACAAACUGUGAGAUCAUGACCUGAGCCGAAGUUGGACACUUAACCAACUGGGCCACCGAGGCGCCCCUAAUAUAUUAGAAAUUUAAUCAGGAGAUGAACUCGCUAAGGGAGCGUGAGGUGUGUUCAUACUCUCUGUGGGUAUUUUCUCACCUUCCAGUUUCAUGGAACCUCAGGAGUGUGUUGGAGAUUAGCUCUUGAUUGAUGAGCACGAACUGUAAGAUUUAGAAGUAGAUGUGUCGAUGUUGAUGUGUCAACAUAGUUGAGAGGAAGCAGGAAUUCAUCACAGAAGGUUCGGCUUCUGGAUACGAAGGGGCAGAGGAGAGGGUAACACAUGGUCCGAAACUGAUGCUUAUGCUCACGCCUUCGUUCCCAGCAGUGCCCCUGUCUGGUGUGUGGCAGGCACUCAGCAAAUGUUUGUUCACUCUGAAUAAAUAAAUGGGGUAUAUUGUAGGUCACGUGUUGAAGAUAACCUCUAUGACCUGCAGAUUCUGGGUUUGUUUACCCUCUGAAGUUUUUAUCCAGGGCAGCAAGGAAUCGGCGAGACCACCUUUGUCAGAAGUCCCUGAGAGCAGUCAUCUAUCCUUGCAAAGAGUGACCCAGAGGACUUGGAGGGGCAUCUGGUAGCCCACCCUGGCUGCUGCUUAGAGUCACUUGGGGAGCUCUUGAAAUGCAUGGCUGCCAGGCUGGACCUCACUCCAGACCAAUCAAAUCAAAAUCUCUGAGGGCAGGGCCUGGGUGUUGGCAUUUUUCUUUACAAGGACUUCCCAGGCGAUUCUAAUGGGAUCCAGGGGUGUGAAGCACCUGACAAGAGCAUCCGGAGAUGGGAAGGCUGGAGGCAGCUGCAAGAAACCCUGGUUGGCUAGAGGUACACUGCAGGUCUCACCUGGAUGAGGGUGGAAGUGUGUUGGCUACCCCUUAAGUUUCCAGGGUUCUUUCUUUUUUUUUUAACUUGUUUUAUUUUUUUAUUUUUUUUAAUUUAUAUCCAAAUUAGUUAGCAUAUAGUGCAACAAUGAUUUCAGGAGUAGAUUCCUUAGUGCCCUUUAGCCAUCCCCCCCACACCUCCUUUAGUAACCCUCAGUUUGUUCUCCAUAUUUAUGAGUCUCUUCUCUUUUGUCCCCCUCCCUGUUUUUAUAUUAUUUUUGUUUCCCUUCCCUUAUGUUCAUCUGUUUUGUCUCUUAAAGUCCUCAUAUGAGUGAAGUCAUGUGAUUUUUGUCUUUCUGUGACUAAUUUCACUUCGCAUAAUACCUUCCAGUUCCAUCCAUGUAGUUGCAAAUGGCAAGAUUUCAUUCUUCUUGAUUGCUGAGGAAUACUCCAUUGUGUGUGUGUGUGUGUGUGUGUGUGUGUGUGUGUACACAUGUCUUUAUCCAUUCAUCCACCGAUGGACAUUUGGGCUCUUUCCAUACUUUGGCCAUUGUUGAUAGUGCUGCUAUAAACAUGGGGGUGCAUGUGUCCCUUUGAAACAGCAUGCCUGUAUCCUAUGGAUAAAUGCCUAGUAGUGCAAUUGCUGGGUCGUAGGGUAGUUCUAGUUUUAGUUUUUUGAGGAAACUCCAUACUGUUUUCCAGAGUGGCUUCACCAGCUUGCAUUCCCAUCCAGGGUUAUUUCUAAGAGACCUCUCUGAGCUUGGACUGAAGACAGCCCAGCGUGGGGGCAGGGAAGGUGCUGGAAGGAUGGCUGCAGAGAAAGGAGAAUUAUCACCUUAACUCUUGUUUCUCCAACUGCCCCGUGUUGAACCUCGUUCUCAUCCUUCUGGCUCUGCUGACCCCAGAGCACUCUCAGCUAGAUGCCCUGGGCUCCUCUGCACGCAUCUCCACUCCUCCCCUGAAGAGGCCUCACAAUGCUGGCUGGAAACUGCUGACAUUCCCCUGGCUACUCCAUGAGCCCUGGAAAGAAAGGAUGUUUCUGUCGUGUAGCUCUGGCACAUUGUAGGAUUGAGCUUUUCAGUCUGUGUUAGAAAAGACUCAUCAUAUGACUGACUUCAGCCAAUGAAGCAUAAGUGGAAGUGACAUGCAUCACCUCUGGAUGAAAGUCAGCAAGAGUCAGUUUAUAAUUUCCCACAUUUCCUUGCCCUUGUCAUGGUGACCAUGACGCUUCCAAUGAUGGAGGCUCUAUUUGUUUUUGUUCCUGAGUGAGACAACGUGGGGACGAGUCUCUAGUGGACUUGCAAGACUUUAUUGUUUCAAGCGACUGAGCGUUGGGGUUUGUUACAAAGCCCAUACUGACUAAUGUGCUUUUAAUUCUUUAUUUACACAUUUAAAACGCUGCUUACAUUUUCUGAUCAGCAUAUGUGCAUUAUGGGGAACUUUGAAAAUACAGAAAAGUAUCAAAAAGAAAUAAACGUGCACUGAAAUUACCUAUACAGAAAUAAUUUCUGUUAAUAUUUUGAUGUAUUUUCUUUCUCUCUUUUUCUCAUAAAACUAAGAUCACACUAUAUAUACACUAUUGGUGUUUUUGGUUUAUAUUAUAUCAAUAGUCUUUAAAAUAUAUCAUCUGUGGCACAAUAUUAGUGAAGGAAUGUUGUAAUCUAUUUUUAUAUUUGUGUAUUUCCUAUUUAUAUUAUAUAUUCAAUAACAAAAUAACAUUUUACUUUUUAUUCUUUUUCUUGUUGUAAACAACAUCCCAAUGAUACAUUAGUAUGUAUCUUCCUAUCUUCGCUCAGAUUGCUGCUUAUGUCCUUAGGGUAGAAGCUAGAAGGAGAAUUACUGGGCCAAGAAGUAUAAAUAUUUUUAAGACUUUUGCUACCUGUUGCAAAACUGCCCAGGAGAAAGGUUGUACCAAUUAGCACUGCAGCAAGGAGACAUGGGCCAUCUCUCCACCUCCGUUGACGGCUAGAAUUCCUUUUAAUCUCUGUUAAUUUGUCCCCCAAACACCAAACUGUUAAACAGAGAGCAACGCGGGAAGCCAGCAGCGCUGUUCUGUUGCCACGGAGCCUCAGCACGUGUUUUUGAAGUACACACACAAAUGGACAGACGGAUGUACAUUUACCUAUAAAUAUCAUCAGUCGGCGGAAUCCCCAGUAACAAAGAAAAAGUAGGUAAGGGGAUUGUGCCUCACACUGCCCUUCUUUCUUUUCUCUUUAAGAUUGCCCUGGAUGUGUGUUGUGAUUUCAUUUUACCAGCAGGUGUGUGUGCGUGUGUGCGUGUGUGCGUGUGUGUUUGGAGGUGGUGGGGAGAGGGGGGCAGGGUAUGACUCCCCACAGGGUGGUUAGUCUGCACCUUCAUAUUCCCGUGAGUUCAACCCUGGGUCCCACAUCAGACAGGCUGUCUGGAUGCUCUUUAAACUAAGCAGCAGGAUAGAUGCUACUUCUGGCAUCACCCUUUGCUACAAAGGCAUUGAAAACAAGGCCUGAGGCAAUUAGGACAUCAAAUAGUCCUGUUGCUCUUAUAAUACCUAAAUAUUAAAUAUUUAAAAAGGUAAGCAGGCUUGAAAUUUGUAAUGGAAGGAAAAUUUCCCUUUAAGUCAUUAAGGGGUAUGAGUAGCCCCAAGCCUUUGAAAAAUAGUUGGAAAAGUUUGAAGAAUUCAUAACUCAAAAGAACCUCGGUUACGUUCAUAAAUAUGUAGAGCUUAGAGUAAUAAAAUAAGGGCCAAUUCAGAGGUACAUUUAGGAAGGUGACCAGAGCAUAAUUAAAGUAACUGGCUUCACAGCCAAUUUGGAGUUCUGUCUCCAGGAAAGUGGUUACUAUGAGACAGUCACAGACAACCCUGAGAAAACGAGCGCACAAACCCUCAUCAAAGAAGAAAAUAAGCUGAGGUGGUUAAGAGAGCAGAUUCUAUAGUGCGAGGGAACAGAUCCUAAUCUGCCUAAAUAAUUUAUGAUCUAGGUGGCCUUAGGAAACAAGUAGAACUUUUCUCCGCCUCCAUUUUCUCACCUGUCAAUUGGGACCUACCUCCUAGGGUGCUCGUGACAAUGCUAGCAGUGUCUUUGAUGCAAAGUAAAUGCUUAGUAUUACUAAAUCUAGUGAUAUUUUUUUUUUCUCCUAGAGGCACCAAGAGUCUGAUACAAAUAUGAGUAUUUCAAAUAAAGAGCAUCUGUAAGAAAAAGACAGUGGAUCCAAGCUAAUAACAGACAGCAGUUCAAAUUUUUUAUUGAUUGGAUUUGAUUAUAUAGUCACAAAAAUAAAUAACUGACUCAGUUUCAGAUACAAACAAGACAGAAGUGUGACAAAGAAAGUGUUUAGUUCUACAAAAUAGAGGGAGUGACUUUCAGUUUGCUCUGUUUUGUGUGUGUGUGUGUGUGUGUGUGUGUGUGUGUGUGUGUGUGUGUAGUUUACUAAAUCUCCUUUUUCUCCAGGAGAGAAAAAAAUUCCACAAAGAUUGUUUCAUCUUUUGAUUAUAUUGUUUUGUAUUGGCUUAUAGAUAUGCCUAUUAUAGACUCAAUUCUUGAGUCAUGAAGAUGUGACCCAUAUUAGUUAGCACAAACUGUGUGUUGUAACCAA